rnacentral:ncRNA from 1 species
UCUGUGGAGAACUAUAUAAACUAAAUAAACUUUAUCCUUUGAGAUAAAUGAUUUAUCUAGGGUUCUUAGAAACAGAAA